rnacentral:rRNA from 1 species
UACGUAGGGUGCAAGCGUUGUCCGGAAUUAUUGGGCGUAAAGAGCUCGUAGGCGGUUUGUCGCGUCUGCUGUGAAAACUCGGGGCUUAACUCCGGGCCUGCAGUGGGUACGGGCAGACUAGAGUGCGGUAGGGGAGACUGGAAUUCCUGGUGUAGCGGUGAAAUGCGUAGAUAUCAAGAGGAACACCUGAGGUGAAGACGGGUUGCUGGGCCAACACUGACGCUGAGGCGCGAAAGCCAGGGGAGCAAACGGG